rnacentral:rRNA from 1 species
AUGGAUGAGCACAAAACGAGCCCAGAGUCCCUGCUGUUUGUUUUCUUGAGGGCACGCGACGACAACUCGCUCGAGGUUGAUUUCGGUGCACUGGACCUCUCCACGCCUCACCUAACGCCGCCGUCGUCCAUCGGCAACGGGAUGCAGUUCGUCUCCCGGAUCAUGUCUUGGAAGCUGAGCGGCAAGCCGGAGAGCAUGAAGCCACUGCUGGACUACCCCGGCGAGAAAGAAAGCAUUGCUUCUCGCACAAGUCUUGGUCGCCAGCCUUGA